rnacentral:lncRNA from 1 species
GGGGGGUUUCCCCUCCAUCCCGGGGGCUCCCCCAUUCCCGAGGCAUUCCAAAACAUCGUGAGGGGAUCCCCUCCAUCCCAAGGGCUUCCCCCAUUCUCAAAUCAUUCCCCUCCAUCCCAAAUCAUUCCCCUCCAUCCCGAGUUGUUCCCCUCCAUCCUGGGGGCUUCCCCCAUUCCCGAAUCAUUCCCCUCCAUCCCAAGGUGUUCCCCUCCAUCCCAAAUAGUUCCCCUCCAUCCUAAAGCAUUCCCAUCCAUCCCAAAUCAUUCCCCUUCAUCCCAAAGUGUUCCCCUCCAUCCCAAGGGCUCCCCUCCAUCCCUGGGGGUUCCCCCAUUCCCGAAUCAUUCCCAUCCAUCCCAAGGUGUUCCCCUCCAUCCCGAGUCGUUCCCCUCCAUCCCAAGGGCUCCCCUCCAUCCCAAGUCAUCCCCCUCCAUCCCAAAUCCUUCCCCUCCAUCCCAAGGUGUUCCCCUCCAUCCCGAGUCAUUCCCCUCCAUCCCAAAUUGUUCCCCUCCAUCCCUGGGGGGUUCCUCCAUUCCCGAAUCAUUCCCAUCCAUCCCAAGGUGUUCCCCUCCAUCCCGAGUCAUCCCCCUCCAUCCCAAGGGCUCCCGUCCACCCCAAAUCAUUCCCCUCCAUCCCGAGUCGUUCCCCUCCAUCCCUGGGGGAUUCCCCCAUUCCCAAAUCAUUCCCCUCCAUCCCAAGGGCUCCCCUCCAUCCCAAGGGCUCCCCUCCAUCCCAAAUCCUUCCCCUCCAUCCCAAAUCAUUCCCCUUCAUCCCAAAUCAUUCCCCUCCAUCCCAAAUCAUUCCCCUCCAUCCUGAGUCAUUCCCCUCCAUCCCGGGGGGGUUCCCCCGUUCCCAAAUCCUCCCCCCCGUCCCCGGGGCUGACUCACAGGCUCACUGCCUGCUGGAUGACCUUCAUCCAGUGGUUCCUGUCGUCCCGGGAGGCCGCGUGCACCUCGUACAUCUCCGGGGGGGCCGCGCUGAGCAGGAACAUGCCCUUCUCCUGGUUGGCGAUGUCCCGCACCAGCAGGUUUUGCAGGGAGAUCACGGCCGGCUUGUCCUGUGGGAACGGCGGGAAAAGGGCUGGGAAUGCGGCCCUGGAAGGGCUGGGAUGGGGGGGAGUUGUUGGGUGGGA